rnacentral:rRNA from 1 species
CCUACGGGAGGCAGCAGUGAGGAAUAUUGGUCAAUGGUCGGGAGACUGAACCAGCCAAGCCGCGUGAGGGAUGAAGGUACAGAGUAUCGUAAACCUCUUUUGUCAGGGAACAAAGGCGGGGACGUGUCCCCGGAUGAGUGUACCUGAAGAAAAAGCAUCGGCUAACUCCGUGCCAGCAGCCGCGGUAAUACGGAGGAUGCGAGCGUUAUCCGGAUUUAUUGGGUUUAAAGGGUGCGCAGGCGGUAUGUUAAGUCAGCGGUCAAAGCCCGGGGCUCAACCCCGGCCCGCCGUUGAAACUGGCAGUCGCGAGUUGGAGAGAAGUAUGCGGAAUGCGCGGUGUAGCGGUGAAAUGCAUAGAUAUCGCGCAGAACUCCGAUUGCGAAGGCAGCAUGCCGGCUCCACACUGACGCUGAGGCACGAAAGCGUGGGUAUCGAACAGGAUUAGAUACCCUGGUAGUC